rnacentral:rRNA from 1 species
GAUGAACGCUGGCGGCGUGCUUAACACAUGCAAGUCGAACGGAAAGGCCCAAGCUUGCUUGGGUACUCGAGUGGCGAACGGGUGAGUAACACGUGGGUGAUCUGCCCUGCACUUCGGGAUAAGCCUGGGAAACUGGGUCUAAUACCGGAUAGGACCACAUUUUGGAUGGUGUGGUGGAAAGUUUUUCGGUGUGGGAUGAGCUCGCGGCCUAUCAGCUUGUUGGUGGGGUAAUGGCCUACCAAGGCGUCGACGGGUAGCCGGCCUGAGAGGGUGUACGGCCACAUUCGGACUGAGAUACGGCCCAGACUCCUGCGGGAGGCAGCAGUGGGGAAUAUUGGACAAUGGGCGCAAGCCUGAUGCAGCGACGCCGCGUGGGGGAUGACGGCCUUCGGGUUGUAAACUCCUUUCGCUAGGGACGAAGCGUUAUGUGACGGUACCUGGAGAAGAAGCACCGGCUAACUACGUG